CCUACGGGAGGCAGCAGUGGGGAAUAUUGGACAGUGGGCGCAAGCCUGAUCCAGCCAUACCGCGUGGGUGAAGAAGGCCUUCGGGUUGUAAAGCCCUUUUGUUGGGAAAGAAAUCCAGCCGGCUAAUACCUGGUUGGGAUGACGGUACCCAAAGAAUGAGCACCGGCUAACUUCGUGCCAGCAGCCGCGGUAAUACGAAGGGUGCAAGCGUUACUCGGAAUUACUGGGCGUAAAGCGUGCGUAGGUGGUUAUUUAAGUCCGUUGUGAAAGCCCUGGGCUCAACCUGGGAACUGCAGUGGAUACUGGAUGACUAGAAUGUGGUAGAGGGUAGCGGAAUUCCUGGUGUAGCAGUGAAAUGCGUAGAGAUCAGGAGGAACAUCCAUGGCGAAGGCAGCUACCUGGACCAACAUUGACACUGAGGCACGAAAGCGUGGGGAGCAAACAGGAUUAGAUACCCCGGUAGUCCACGCCCUAAACGAUGCGAACUGGAUGUUGGGUGCAAUUUGGCACGCAGUAUCGAAGCUAACGCGUUAAGUUCGCCGCCUGGGGAGUACGGUCGCAAGACUGAAACUCAAAGGAAUUGACGGGGGCCCGCACAAGCGGUGGAGUAUGUGGUUUAAUUCGAUGCAACGCGAAGAACCUUAC
rnacentral:rRNA from 1 species